rnacentral:rRNA from 1 species
AACGAACGCUGGCAGCAGGCUUAACUCAUGCAAGUCGAACGCCCCGCAAGGGGAGUGGCAGACGGGUGAGUAACGCGUGGGAACGUGCCCUUCGCUUCGGAAUAGCCCCGGGAAACUGGGAGUAAUACCGGAUACGCCGUAUUGGGAAAGAUUUAUCGGCGAAGGAUCGGCCCGCGUUAGAUUAGCUAGUUGGCGGUGUAAUGGACCACCAAGGCUACGAUCUAUAGCUGGUCUGAGAGGAUGAUCAGCCACACUGGGACUGAGACACGGCCCAGACUCCUACGGGAGGCAGCAGUGGGGAAUCUUGGACAAUGGGCGCAAGCCUGAUCCAGCCAUGCCGCGUGAGUGAAGAAGGCCUUAGGGUUGUAAAACUCUUUCGCCGGAGAAGAUAAUGACGGUAUCCGGAGAAGAAGCCCCGGCUAACUUCGUGCCAGCCGCCGCAGUAAAAC